CUUGUGGUGUCUGGAGGUUAUGAUAAAAGUAUUGUUAUCUGGGAUUUAGAAGAAACAUAUAAAAAGCUAAGUUUAAAGGGUCAUAAAGAUUGGGUGACAGACGUUGCAAUCAGUAAUGACAAGAAGUGGCUUGUUUCCUCCUCAAAGGAUUGUACUUUGAGGAUAUGGGACAUUGGAAAUGCUAACAAUAUUCCGGUGGUAAUACAAGCUGU